GGUACGGCCGGACGUUCGCGCGUUUGCGCGGAGCCCUGUGGCAGGGGCGUGCCAUUGUUAACCGCGAGUAAUGGAGA
rfam:Oryza sativa Indica Group cultivar 93-11 Ctg041841, whole genome shotgun sequence.